ACGGAGGGUGCAAGCGUUAAUCGGAAUAACAGGACGAAAAGCGCGCGUAGGCAGUCUUUUAAGUCGGACGUGAAAGCCCUCGGCUCAACCGGGGAACUGCGUUCGAUACUGGGAGACUUGAGUCCUGGAGAGGGUGGCGGAAUUCCGGGUGUAGGAGUGAAUGCCGUAGAUAUCCGGAGGAACACCGGUGGCGGAGGCGGCCACCUGGACAGGUACUGACGCUGAGGCGCGAACGCGUGGGGAACAAACAG
rnacentral:rRNA from 1 species